rnacentral:rRNA from 1 species
AGCGAACGCUGGCGGCAGGCCUAACACAUGCAAGUCGAACGAGGUCUUCGGACUUAGUGGCGGACGGGUGAGCAACACGUGGGAACGUGCCUUUAGGUUCAGAAUAACUCAGGGAAACUUGUGCUAAUACCGAAUGUGCCCUUCGGGGGAAAGAUUUAUCGCCUUUAGAGCGGCCCGCGUCUGAUUAGCUAGUUGGUGAGGUAAAGGCUCACCAAGGCGACGAUCAGUAGCUGGUCUGAGAGGAUGAUCAGCCACAUUGGGACUGAGACACGGCCCAAACUCCUACGGGAGGCAGCAGUGGGGAAUCUUGCGCAAUGGGCGAAAGCCUGACGCAGCCAUGCCGCGUGAAUGAUGAAGGUCUUAGGAUUGUAAAAUUCUUUCACCGGGGACGAUAAUGACGGUACCCGGAGAAGAAGCCCCGGCUAACUUCGUGCCAGCCGCCGCGGUAA